rnacentral:tRNA from 1 species
GCCGUUUCAGCACCCCGCAUGACGCGGUGAUCGAACUCCUAGAGCGGGUGUCGCAGGUUCGAAUCCUGCCGGGGGCA